rnacentral:lncRNA from 1 species
CGCCGUCUUCGCGACGAAGGAGGCUGCCCAUUGCGUCCCACCCCACCAGAAAGCCAAACACUGGCCUACAUCGGAAUCUUAAAGCGAAAUGAAAAAAUAUAUUUUUUGGUUGAAUCCCUGAAGGAGGUAGAAGACUACUGCAGUUGUCCCAGUAGGAAAGCCAGGUGGCUCAGGCUGACGUGAUGUUGGUGGACGUGGUGAUGAGCGGUAGGUAUGAGAAUGUAGGAAUUGUAAGGCUAGAGCUCGGUUGAUGUUGUUCCUAUAAACAUGGCAGCAGGGGCGCCAUGAGGUGGGUAAGGCGAGGGAAAGAGAUGUUGCCUCUGAGGCUUUGGCCUGAGGGACUAGGUGGACGGUGGUGCCGCUGACUGAGAUGGACGAGAUUUUAGGGGGAGCAAGUCUCUAACCUGCUUUGGAGACAUGCUUCCACAUGCCUGGUUUCAGAACGUGAUACAUAUUCAGGUCUUAUUCAUUCAUCUUCUUCUGAGGUUCCUCCCAUCAAAGUGAAAAGCUG